rnacentral:lncRNA from 1 species
CAUGAGAAUUUAGAAAAUCAGUAGUUCGAAACAGAUUACCAAUCUUCUUCAUGUUCCAAUAGCCCACCUCGUUCCUUACAUUGUCAAAGAGCAAAGAAAGCCCAUCAGUGGGGGAGCGUUGGAUAUCAGUGGACCAAGCAUCUGCAACCAUUUCUCUUAUUUCACCAUACAUCAUCUAAAAUUUCUCCAAUCUAAAUGGAGAAGAACGUCUACACCAUUUAGCAGCAACGG